ACAAAAUCUCAAGAGAAGAAGAGUGAGGAGGAAAACAAACCUGUAGAGGCUCUCCUAGUUGUCCCACAGCUUCAGUUCCAGCAUAGGUCCUCUGCCCAGCAUUUGAGAUGCUUCAGUUUGCUCUUCCUGCUUCUCCUCAUGUCCACCAGCUCAGCUUCUGUCCACGCAGUCCUUCAACCUCCUGUCCCAUAGAGGAGCCAGGCUGUAUCAAGGUGGAUCUGGCUCCCACAAGCAAGUCUCUCAUGCCGUAAGAUCCCCUCACACUGUGGGAAGGUGCUCAAAGCAGCAUGGCAAGAAGCUAAGAGGAUGGGAAAAAGAAGGCAGAAGUCUUGGAAGGCUUGUUUCUGCAAGUCUCUCAUCGCUCUGAGAGUGCUAAGAAUUAUACAUCCAGGACAGCAAUUCACACAUUCAACAUUCAUGCUGGAAGACGUUGGCACUGGAAGCAUUGCAAUAAGAAUGACUUACAAUGUGAUGAAAAAGAACAGCUGGAGUCCUCUAGCUUCUGUCUGUGAUAUGGGUCCAGAAUCAGAGGUGAGCAUCUCUUGUCUGUUUGAUGGCCACCUGAAAUGACUUCAUAGAAUCAUUAAGUUUGGAAAAGGCCUCUAAGAUCAACAAGUCCAACCAUCAACCCAUCAUCACCAUGCCUGUAGCACAAAGCAAUGCAGGACAGGCAUUUCUAGCGAUCAGCAUCCUUAUCACAAAAGGAGAAGAUGGAUAACUCACAAAGGCAGCAGCUGUGUUUCACUCCCAAGUAGCACCUGGGACACCUAAGGCUGGCUGGUAAAAGCAGGAAGCACUGAGACUUAUGCUUAAAAAUUCAGAAAGGACCGCCGGGUGCAGAAGCAGAAGAUGAGGCAGUGGCACAGCAUUUUCCUGAAAUGCAACAUUAGUUCCCUUGUAGAGAUGGAUGAAGGAGAAGUUUUGAAGCAGCUGUCCCCACUGCACACUUCUGUGGUUAAAUUCAGUCUCCUUUUCUGAAGCACUGACAUGGGCAGAGAUGCUUAGCUGCCUCCUCCUGUCUGCCUCCAGAGGGAUGGAGGCACAGACAUUAUGACAAUGGCGGUCCAGCUGCCAUCAGUAUCAAAAUAGAUGUGAAAUGCAGGGAACUGGUGGCACACUGCAGAGAGUCAUGGUAAUGAUGUAACUUCACCCCAGGGAUGGGAACGCAUCAGUUCUGUACCCAGACUGCUGGACAGGGAUAGAACAUGCCCCAAGUGAGCAAAAGCAACAAUUGCCUUCUCUGCAGCUCCCUCCUGCAGCAGGUGAGCCACAGCUAUUACCAUAAGGCCAACAAGUGUUUAACAAAAGCCUGUCUUCGGGUAUGCUCUGCUUUGCUGUCUGCGCGGCUGUGCGAGGCAGAUUGCUGGCUCUUAUUAGCUAAAUAAACAAGCAGCAAAAGUUGAGCGGAAUGGAAGCACAUACACAGCUUGUCUGCAAAUAGAGACAAACGCCUCCAUCGCAUGGUUGCACCCAGCUGUCUGGCUGUUACCUGCUUAAAUGGCUUUAAUUUCACAUUAAGGUCAGCACAGGCAGAGCUUCUCCUCCAGGGUGGAAAACCUGGCUAAUGAGACACUCAGGUUUGUACUGAGCCUACGCUGAGUGCUUCAGGGAGCUCGGUCUUUGCCUGGGACCAAAGAGUUCCUAGCUUGGGUGCCAGGCUCACCAGCCAGACACUCCUCUGCCUUCUUGCUGAAAUUAUGGGCUACCUCCAAGUUCCAGGCAAGGUAUCCUCUAUGCAGAGAUCUCUGUCACUGCUUCAGCCCCACUGGGGCUCUGCUCCUUAGGCGGGCUGCCCUGUGCUGGCUCCAUUUCAGCAAAAGUUAUUCAUUCAGCUUGUGUAUCCCUCCCCUCUACCAUUUACACAGCCCAUGCUUUCCUCUAGGAGUAGAGUUGGGAUGAGUAAACUAUCUUUAUAUAUAGUCUGAGGGGCUUGGCUUUAACUCUCGUUUAUUACUCUUCCAUUUCCUUUAACUUCUCCUUUCCAAAGAUCAGAGUUCCUGGCCAAGUUCUAAUGCAGUCUGUGAGGGUGACAGACAGGGUUUUACUAUGAUUGCUGGUGCGUGGGAAGCCAUUCGUCUUGAACCACAUUCUCCAUGUUACCGAAGGCUAAAUCGAAAAAGACCCUCAUCUUGCAUGCCUUUGAAGGAACAAUUCUGAGGAUAAUUUAGAGUAUUGAGACAUUGAUUCACUAAACACUGUUGCCCUCCUUAUGUGUGGGCAGGCAAAGUCACCCAUUAUUGGUGAUUUAUUAGCUAUAGGAGCCUCUUUGAUCUUCUCCAACGUCGCGCACUCAAUAUCCUCCUCCCAUGAGGCAGAAGGGAGGAACAGCCCCAUCAAAACGCAUGCAUUAUUAUGACUUACGGUUUGCGUCCAUGGAUUGUCUCCAUGCAGGCACUGCACCGCGUCUCACUGGAUUCGGGGGAAUCUUUCUGAGCCCUACAAUAUAUGCAAAAAUAGAAGUUCCUCUUGGAGUGAAAAAUUAUGAUACCAGCACCUCUAAAUUGCUUUUAACGGCUUUCUGUGCUGCCUCUGGCUCAGAAGUGCUUAGUUUGCUGACAAAAAUCAUAGACUCACACACACUUGAGAUGGAAAAGCCCUGCUAGGUUCAGCUAGUCCAUUUCUCCUACCAGGGAAGGAACAUUCCCAGCAAUCUGUUUUCCCUACUACUUUAUCUUGUCUAUUUUUAAGUAUUCCAUGUAGCAAAAAUACAUUUAGAUUGUCAGGAUUUCAGAGCCAAGUUAGCUGUGGAAGUACCAGCUGUAGCCUAAUCUGCUUUGUCUGGUGGCAGCAGCUAAAUUGCUCUCUGCUGCCUUUGAAGUCAAUGGAAAAAGUCUUAUUGGCUUCUCUGGGAGCAUUCUCAGGCCUUUGGUACGGAUGAUUAGAGCAAAUAGCUACAGAGCACUGAUAAGCCAUUCUUACACUAUCACUUUCUAGGCCAUAACUGCAUUUUAAUAGGCAAGAAAUUGUCUCAGAGGCAGUCAGGGUGCAAUAAUAGCAACACCAUGUGGAGCACAGGGCAAACCGAGGCUUCACAGAAGUGGCUUCUGCAACGACCAUACAAAAUGACAUCCAAAAACCCAAACAGGUUUGGUGGAGUACAUGAUCUGGGGGGAAUGACCAGAGGCAGCCCCUUUUGGGCCUCAUCUCUCUACUCAACCUGCUGGAGCCAGUUCAGCUCAUAGGUAGUUUCAGCGUGCUUUUCCUUUCCAACAGAUUUUAACUUCAUGAAUGAAGGGAGCUCAGUGCAUCAGGGUACCUCUGCACAUACUUGGAUACAGUAUGGCGUGGGUGCAGCACUGCCCUGCUAUGUUGGCCAAACAAAGCGAAACAGGGAAAUGGUUUCAAACUAAAAGAGGGGAUAUAAGGAAAAGGUUUUUUUACAGUAAGGGCAGUGAGGCACUGGCACAGACUGCCCAGAAUGGUGGUGGGUGCCCCAUCCCUGCAGACAGCCAAGGUCAGGCUGGAUGGGCUCUGAGCACCUGAUGGAGCUGUGGGUGUCCCUGUUCAGUGCAGGGGGGUUGGACCAGAUGGCCUUUAAGGGUCCCUUCCAACUCAAACCAUUCUAUGAUUCUAAGUCUGGUUAUUCUGUCACACAAGUAGGAAGGUACUGUACAACCCUCAGUUCACCUUUGGAUGGAGCUGUGCUGUGAGAUGGAGCAGUGGCAGUGACACAGCAGCCAGACACAACGGCAGCAAAUCUCAGCCCUCUGCUUUCCCUUUCCACCUAAGUAACAAUGGCAGGUACUGCGAGCUGGGACUGGGUUUAAUUUAGAAGUUGUCCUCUGCUGGGAUAGCUUUCUCUGCCUCCGCAUUUCCUGUCUGGAAGUUCUCCCAAAAGGAUGAAUUAACCAACAUAUGACCUGU
ensembl:lncRNA